rnacentral:sRNA from 1 species
AGUAUUCCGCGAUUUAGAUUUAAGAAAAGAAGAAGUUAUGUAUCAAGUGUCCGAAAGCACAACUUUGUGCUAAUGUUCACAUGCAAAUUUAUUAAUGAUUUGUUUCUUGCCACUAAAACCCCCCAACUACAUUUGUAAUAAUGAAUGAAACGCUUAGUGAAUACUAUAUUCUAUCAAAAUACACUUUUUAUGCUAAUGUAAUAAUAUGAUGCUAUGAGUCAAUUUUCAUAUUUUCAAAAAUUAUACUUUUAAGAACUUUAUUAAAACACCUAUCUUGAAACUGUUUAAAUUACUUCGAUGUAUAAGAGAGAAGUUUGUGUACAUGUUUUCUUAAUCAAAAUGAAAAUGAACAUGACUUUUUUGGUUUUGGGUAGAGUUGAAUUAGUUCUAUGUUGUUUGAGUGAUUACCGAUUCUAUUGUUAUCCCUGAUCUCUUAAUAUUGUUGACAUUGUGUGUGUGAAUGAGAUGUGUUCAUGUUCCUCAUUUUAAUUUGUGAUUUGGAUCCACCAAUAUAUACUGUGAAAUCAUUUAAAUUCACGGGGUGCUAAUUUUUGUGGAUUGUCAAAUGGGAAAUUAUAUCGCGGUUUUGCUUGUUUGUAAAAUGAAUGAAGAUAUAUUUCGUAAUUCGUUGGAAAUUUGUAAAAAUCAUAUUUCAGAGGUACCAACGAAAUCCAAGGAAAUUUAGCCCUACGAAUUCAGUUUAUACAGAACAUGAUUUCACAGUAUAUUUGGUGAAGGGAAAUUGGAAUGAUUCUUUAUUUAUAUGCGAUGGAGUGCCAAAACUGGACCAGUAGUAACCCUCAUUUUUGUCUUCUCUGAUUCAAUCAGAAAUGCACUUGUGAUUUACAGUAUCAGAAUAAAAGAUUAAAAUACC